UAGAUUUUAUUUAUUAAUUUUUAUUGUUUAUUUAAUUUAAUAAAAUUAAUUUUAUGUUUUUUUGUUUGUGUAUUUUUUAAAGAUAAAAUAAUUUUUAUAAUAGUUUAUUAGUAUUGUGAAAGAAUAUUGAAAUAAUUUGAAAAAUUUUUAAUUUAAAAGAAAAUUUAGUUUAUUGUACCUUGUGUAUCAGGGUUUAUUAAAUAAAAAAUAAAUAUUUAUUUUUCUCGAAUUUAAGAGAUCUAAUUAUUUAUGUUAUUUAAUGUAGCAUAAUUAUUAAAAAUAAAUAAUUAGAAAUGAAACGUUAUUCGUUCUUAAAUAUAUCUGGUUUUCUAAGAAAUGAAUUUAAUUCAGGUGUUAUUAAUUGUAAAUAUUUAAUUUUAAUAAUUAUUUAUUUAAUAAUACUAAUAUUUUAAGGGAUAAGCUUUAAAAUAAAUAUUUAUAAAUAAAAAUUUUUUUAUAAUAAAUAUAGGCUUAGAAUUAGUCAUUAUUAAAAAUUAUGUUAUAAUUUAUUUUGUAAUUAGAAUUAUUUAUUUUUAUUUUAAAUUUUUUAUUAGAAUAUUUACUUUAAUAUAAAAAGUUUAUUAAUAAUGAUAAAAUUAGUAUAGUUUAUUGUAUAAAUAAUAAUGUUUGUUAGGUUUAUUUAAAUAAUUCGGCAAAUUAAUGCUCGCCUGUUUAUCAAAAACAUGUCUUUUUGAAUUUAAUUUAAAGUCUAGCCUGCCCACUGAUUAUUAUUAAAGGGCCGCGGUAUUUUGACCGUGCAAAGGUAGCAUAAUCAUUAGUUUUUUAAUUGAAAGCUUGUAUGAAUGGUUGGACGAGGUAUUAGCUGUUUCAAAUAAAAUUUUGUUAGAAUUUAUCUUUUUUGUAAAAAGACAAAAAUAUUUUUAAAGGACGAGAAGACCCCAUAGAGCUUUAUAUUUUUUUAUUUAUUGUUUAUAAAGAAUAUUUAAAAUUUUAUUUUAAUAAAUAUUUUGUUGGGGUGACAAUAAGAUUUAAAAAACUCUUAUUAUUUUAUUACAUUGAUUUAUGAAUUAUUGAUCCAUUAUUAGUGAUUAUAAAAUUAAGUUACCUUGGGGAUAACAGCGUAAUUUUUUUUAAGAGUUCAUAUCGACAAAAAAGAUUGCGACCUCGAUGUUGGAUUAAGAAUUAUUUUUAGGUGUAGAAGUUUAAAGUUUAGGUCUGUUCGACCUUUGAAUUCUUACAUGAUCUGAGUUCAAACCGGCGUAAGCCAGGUUGGUUUCUAUCCUUAAUUAAUUAAAAUAUCUUAGUACGAAAGGACCAGGCAUUUAAAAUAUUAAUUUUUUAUAUUAGAAGAUUAUUAAUU
rnacentral:rRNA from 1 species